GGAUAGAGGGCGAUGGCUGGCGACAUCUGCACCCCACCGUCGCCAAAGGGUUGAUUCCGCUGAGCUGGCUGCUAGGACAGGUGCCCCUUCAUCCCUCCCACCGCUCCAUGUGCGUCCCCUCCGAAGCUGCGCGCUCGGUUGAAGAGGACGACAUCCCCGAUAGAGGAGGACCGUUCGUUUGUAAGGGUAUAUCCGGAGUACUCUGCGCUGCCCUGCUAGAAAUCCAAACAAGCUCUCAAAGAAANNN
rnacentral:sRNA from 1 species